CAUUAUUGAAAUAAACCUGAUGGGUUGUUGCUGGUUCUCUAGGGAGCAUGUGCACACCUUGUCAUCUUUAUAUCUCCACCUGUGCACCCUUUGUAGACCUUUCAGGUCUAUGUUGCUUCAUUUACCCCAAUGUAUGUUAAUAGAAUGUUGUGCCUAUAUAAUAUAUACAACUUUCAGCAACGGAUCUCUUGGCUCUCGCAUCGAUGAAGAACGCAGCGAAAUGCGAUAAGUAAUGUGAAUUGCAGAAUUCAGUGAAUCAUCGAAUCUUUGAACGCACCUUGCGCUCCUUGGUAUUCCGAGGAGCAUGCCUGUUUGAGUGUCAUUAAUAUAUCAACCUUCUCUUGUUGAGUGGUUUGGAUGGUGGGGGUUUGCUGGCCUCUCAAAAGGUUUUUAGCUCUCCUGAAAUGCAUUAGCAGAACAACCCUGUUCAUUGGUGUGAUAACUAUCUACGCUAUUGAAUGUGAAGGGCAGUUUGGCUUUCUAACAGUCCUCGGACAGCUCAAUCAUUAAUGUG
rnacentral:rRNA from 1 species